rnacentral:sRNA from 1 species
UUAAACAUGAUUAUCUCAGUGAAGAAGGAGUUUUCAAUCCUGCUGAGACGCAUGGUAAUAAGUUGAAUUAAUUUGAGAUAUUGAAUUGAUUAACAACUUUUAUUAAGAAGUGAUUCUUGAUAUGGAGACAGAAACUGUCAACAACGCUGUGUGGUGUAUCAUUAUAAAGAGGUCAAAAGCAGAAUCCUUGUGGCUGACAUAAUAGACGCCCGAUGUUCGGGAAUAAUCCGUUGAUGUGAGAGGUGUGAGAGACCACGGACUAAACGGAAAUCUCAACAAGUCAGUUUGCCUUGAACCUGAGAAAUCAGGGUAUAACACAAGAAAUUCGUUAAAGUAGCGGUAUGGCAGAACUAUUAAAUUUAUCUUUUGCUUUAUAGAGCAAAUAGGAAAAAAUAAUAUUCUCUGAAAGAACCGUGAAAUUUGUGGGUAUCAUUCCCACCCGUGCUUAGACAGUGGUAAGAAGCCAAGGGUCGCUCCCGAACGCUCAGACUUAUCAUCACGGUGGCCGAAUAUGACUGAGUUUAUAAUGGAUAAAGGGAAGCCUUAAUCAUGUUUAUUUUU